GUGGAGGAGGACGCCGAAGGUGGGGCUAAUGACUGGGGUGAAGUCGUAACAAGGUAGCCGUACCGGAAGGUGCGGCUGGAUCACCUCCUAACAGGGAGACAACAAAAUGUUUAAUAUUAUUUUGUCACCUUAGGUCGAUCGGUAUCUCACGUUUUUAAUUUAUUAAGAAUUUCAUUUCCUAAGUUUUUCUAGGUCACACCCAUUUUUUUUCCUGGGCCAUUAGCUCAGGUGGUUAGAGCGCACCCCUGAUAAGGGUGAGGUCCCUGGUUCAAGUCCAGGAUGGCCCAUAUCUCUAUGUUGGGGGUAUAGCUCAGUUGGUAGAGCGCCUGCUUUGCAAGCAGGAUGUCAGCGGUUCGAGUCCGCUUACCUCCACUGAUUACCACCUCUUCCAUAAUCUGUUGAAAGGAAAAAAUUUUGAGUUGUGAUCAUAUUUCUGAACGAAUCUAGCUUCCUAAUGUAACCAUUAAGAUGCUGGACUCAUUGAAUUAAUUUCAUUGUUUUCAGAGAACCUUGACAACUGCAUAGAUUAUUUUUAAAGACAAUAAGCAUCUUUAAUGAUGCAGAUUUAUUAUUUGUGCGAAUGCAUUAAUAACAAUUCUAUUAAGCUGAUGCUUCAAUUUUGAAGUUAUUGGUCAAGCUACAAAGGGCUCACGGAGGAUACCUAGGCACACAGAGGCGA
rnacentral:misc_RNA from 1 species